rnacentral:rRNA from 1 species
AAGAAUUAAAUUGUUUUUUUUAAUUAAUUAGAUAUUUAAAAUUUGUAAUUAAAAAGAUAUUUUGAUUAACAAUAGUGGAUAGUACUGUGAAGGAAUUUUUGAAAGGUUUUUUUGAAAGUAAGAAAUUUUGUACCUUUUGUAUCAGGGUUUAGCUAAAAAAUUAAAAGUUUUUGAUAUCCCGAAAAAUCUUGAGCUAUAAAAAAUAGUUUUAAUCAUUUUAAAGAUUAAGAGAAUUUUUUUAUAGAAAUGAAAUUUUAUUCGUAAGAUUGUAUAUCUGGUUAAAUUUUGAAAAUUAGAUAUUUUUUUAUGGGUUGUGGUAUUGGAUAAAUUCAUAAGUUUUAUUUUCUGGGACAAGCUAGGGAAUUAUUUUUAUAUGAAUUUUAGCAUAUAAGUGUAGGUUUAAAAUUUACUUUUUUUGUAACAAAAAAUUUUUUUUGUGGUUAUUAUAAAAAUUUUAUAUUUUUCAAAGAAUUUUUAUUUGUAAGAAUUAAUGCUAUAAUUAGUAUAAUUGAAUAAUUUUAUUAAAGUUAAAUUUAUUAGUGGGGGGUUUAAAAAUAAAAAAGAACUCGGCAAAGAGUUUUUUGGAAUGUUUAUCAAAAACAUUGCAUCUUGAGUUUAUAAGAUGUAGAACCUGCUCAAUGAUUGUAUUAAAUUGCUGUGGUAUUGUGACUAUACGAAGGUAUUGAAAUAAGACUUUAAUUGAGUGCUAAGAGAAUGGUUUAACAAAAAUAGGCUUUUUUUUUAUUUAAAAUUGAAGUUAAUUUAAAAACGAAAAAGUUUUUAUGAAAUUUUAGGACAAGAAGACCCUAUGAAUUUUUUUAAAAAGCUUUUUUUUCAGGUUUUUUUAAAAAAAUUUUAGAAAAGUUUUUAAUUAAUUGGGGCGAUUUUUAAAUUUUUAGAAACUUUAAAGAUGUGAUAUUGGACCCAAUAUUAUUGAUACAUUAAUCAAAAUACUCUAGGGAUAACAGCGUUAUUACUUUGGAUAGUUCAUAUAGAUAAAGUAGAUUGCGACCUCGAUGUUGGAUUAGGAUACCUUUAUUAGUGAAGAAGUUAUAAAAGGAGGUUUGCUCAACCUUUAAAUUCCUACAUGAUCUGAGUUCAGACCGGCGUAAGCCAGGUUGGUUUCUAUCUAAAUUAUGAUAUGAGUUUUUAUAGUACGAAAGGAAUAGAAAACUAAAAAUUUUUUGAUAAGGUUUAUUAGUUUCAAUGUUAGU